rnacentral:rRNA from 1 species
AGUGAACGCUGGCGGUAGGCCUAACACAUGCAAGUCGGACGGCAGCACAGUAAGAGCUUGCUCUUACGGGUGGCGAGUGGCGGACGGGUGAGGAAUACAUCGGAAUCUACUUUUUCGUGGGGGAUAACGUAGGGAAACUUACGCUGAUACCGCAUACGACCUACGGGUGAAAGCAGGGGAUCUUCGGACCUUGCGCGAUUGAAUGAGCCGAUGUCGGAUUAGCUAGUUGGCGGGGUAAAGGCCCACCAAGGCGACGAUCCGUAGCUGGUCUGAGAGGAUGAUCAGCCACACUGGAACUGAGACACGGUCCAGACUCCUACGGGAGGCAGCAGUGGGGAAUAUUGGACAAUGGGCGCAAGCCUGAUCCAGCCAUACCGCGUGGGUGAAGAAGGCCUUCGGGUUGUAAAGCCCUUUUGUUGGGAAAGAAAAGCAGCAGGUUAAUACCCCGCUGUUCUGACGGUACCCAAAGAAUAAGCACCGGCUAACUUCGUG